CAGCCGCCGCGGUAAUACGGAGGGGGCUAGCGUUGUUCGGAAUUACUGGGCGUAAAGCGCACGUAGGCGGCUUGGUAAGUUAGAGGUGAAAGCCUGGAGCUCAACUCCAGAAUUGCCUUUAAGACUGCCGAGCUAGUAGGUGAGAGAGGUAAGUGGAAUUCCGAGUGUAGAGGUGAAAUUCGUAGAUAUUCGGAAGAACACCAGUGGCGAAGGCGGCUUACUGGCUCAUUCUAGACGCUGAGGUGCGAAAGCGUGGGGAGCAAACAGGAUUAGAUACCCCCGUAGUCCCUGUCUCUUAUAC
rnacentral:rRNA from 1 species